rnacentral:rRNA from 1 species
GGUUCAGGACGAACGCUGGCGGCGUGCCUAAUACAUGCAAGUGGAACGCAUGAUUGAUACCGUAGCUUGCUACACCAUUAAUCAUGAGUCGCGAACGGGUGAGUAACGCGUAGGUAACCUGUCUACUAGCGGGGGAUAACUAUUGGAAACGAUAGCUAAUACCGCAUAAGAGUUUUUUAACACAUGUUAGAAAUUUAAAAGGAGCAAAUGCUUCACUAGUAGAUGGACCUGCGUUGUAUUAGCUAGUUGGUAAGGUAACGGCUUACCAAGGCGACGAUACAUAGCCGACCUGAGAGGGUGAUCGGCCACACUGGGACUGAGACACGGCCCAGACUCCUACGGGAGGCAGCAGUAGGGAAUCUUCGGCAAUGGGGGGAACCCUGACCGAGCAACGCCGCGUGAAGUGAAGAAGGUUUUCGGAUCGUAAAGCUCUGUUGUAAGAGAAGAACGUUGAGUAGAGUGGAAAGUUACUCAAGUGACGGUAUCUUACCAGAAAGGGACGGCUAACUACGUGCCAGCCGCCGC